UGGUUUAUUCACAUUAAGUAUCAUCAUUCAAACCUUCGCCAUGAACGGAAAGAUUGUUUUCGUCGCUCUCUUAGUAUUGACCUCCUGUCUUAUUGCUACCGCCGUGGCAGAACCCAAUCCUAUUCCGAGCCAUGACACCAUAAGUGUUAACCCUUCAAACACAGCUAGUAACACUGAUAGCCAAGACACCCAAGGCCAGCAAAGACAGAAGAAACAAGGAGGCAUAUAGUAAAUCUCGUAGAAGACACAAAAUGUAUCAAACAUGUGUUAAAAUCAAUAUUGAGAACCUUCCAUAAAAUAAACAAUAAAUUGUACAUAAAAAAAAGUUUUUUACUUAGUAAUUUCUCACAAAUUC